GACGACAAUACUUCAGAGAAUCAUUUCUAUAGUUUUUGUCCUCUACAUUGUUCUUUAGAACAGAAGCAGUACCCACCCGGGUUGAUGACUUAAAUCCUCGACUUGCCCAUUGUUUGCGAAACGAACAAAGCUUUGCUUUUGACCCUCGCACUGCCUGCAAAGGUGGCGGUUCAGGACUUGUCCAGGACUGUAUUAGAGGGUGGUGAUGAGCUAUACCCUAGAUUUGGGUUUCUCCUUUGUGAGAACUCUGCUGGGGUGGGUGCCGAUGGACGUCUGACCGGU
rnacentral:snoRNA from 1 species